rnacentral:tRNA from 1 species
AGGGAUAUAGCUCAGUGAUAGAGCACUUGCCUAGCAUGCAUGAGUCCCUGAGUCCAAUCCCCAGGAUCACAA